GCUAGAGCUUCAGUGUUCAGUGGUCUGGGACAAGCAGAAACUCUAAGAAGCAGGGACCAGUCUGAGUUCUUACCAGGAGUGUACCUUCCGAGGGGAUGGUGAAGCAAUGCCAACUGCAGCUGUAGCAAGAGCAGCACUGUCACCACCACUCAACAGACAGAUUCUUCAGCCUAGAGUUUCACUCUUACAUUGAACAAGUAGAGCACGUUGCCUGGGAGUCCAUCUCAGCCUGAGCUAUACAAAAGCAGCAGUGGGAAGCAUUCUGUACUAACCACAGUACUACAGAGAUGCCCAGACACAAGUUCACUGGUACCCUCAACUACUUAGCAUGAUUUAAAGAUCUGUUAAUAUUGUUCUGUGGACAUCGGUUAGUUCAAAUUGCCAAAGGAUACUCAGUAAGUAUAUGGAUGAAAUUUUUCUCACGUGUUCCUUCAAUGUACACCAAGAUUUCCUUUAAUGCUGGGGUAUUAAAGUGUGCCACUGACUACCAAACACAUGAUUUCUGUGUGUCAACAUGUAACCUAGUAAGAAUGAGCUGGUUAUCUUAGAUUGCUGCUGCUGUGAUAAACACCAUGACCAAAAACAACUUGGAAAGGAAAGAAGGAGGAGGAGGAAGAGGAGGAAGAGGAG
ensembl:lncRNA